GGCCUUUUUUCUCACGCGGGAAUGCUUAUAAUAACGACGUCGGGAUUCCGACUAUGGCGAUAAACGAUGCGUGGAAUAGACGUAGCGGACCCGGGGGCGGUACCCGGCGCCUCCACCAAAAUCAGGCACCGGUCACGGCGACCGUUUUGGGGGCGAAAUAGGAUCGACGCGCGUGAUAAAGACGUAUUUUUCGCUCGGCAUGGCACCACCGAUAUCGGGCCAUUGUUAUAGUUGCCAACGACAACUAUGCGGAGGCACGUCUCGCCGCCUAAGCGGCUGACAGCCUAAACGAAACUCCACGGGGUUCGCACCUCGUGGCGGGGUUGGGGACGCACCUGGCAACAGAAGCGUCCCGCU
rnacentral:tmRNA from 1 species